GACGAACGCUGGCGGCGUGCUUAACACAUGCAAGUCGAGCGGUAAGGCCCUUUCGGGGGUACACGAGCGGCGAACGGGUGAGUAACACGUGGGUGACCUGCCCUCAGCUCUGGGAUAAGCCUGGGAAACCGGGUCUAAUACUGGAUAUGACUCCAUGACGCAUGUUGUGGGGUGGAAAGCCUUGUGCGGCUGAGGAUGGGCCCGCGGCCUAUCAGCUUGUCGGUGGGGUGANGGCCUACCAAGGCGACGACGGGUAGCCGGCCUGAGAGGGCGACCGGCCACACUGGGACUGAGACACGGCCCAGACUCCUACGGGAGGCAGCAGUGGGGAAUCUUGCGCAAUGGGCGAAAGCCUGACGCAGCGACGCCGCG
rnacentral:rRNA from 1 species